rnacentral:rRNA from 1 species
AAUGAACGCUGGCGGCAUGCCUAACACAUGCAAGUCGAACGUGACCUUCGGGUCUAGUGGCGCACGGGUGCGUAACGCGUGGGAAUCUGCCCUUGGGUUCGGAAUAACAGUUAGAAAUGACUGCUAAUACCGGAUGAUGUCGAAAGACCAAAGAUUUAUCGCCCGAGGAUGAGCCCGCGUAGGAUUAGCUAGUUGGUGAGGUAAAGGCUCACCAAGGCGACGAUCCUUAGCUGGUCUGAGAGGAUGAUCAGCCACACUGGGACUGAGACACGGCCCAGACUCCUACGGGAGGCAGCAGUGGGGAAUAUUGGACAAUGGGCGAAAGCCUGAUCCAGCAAUGCCGCGUGAGUGAUGAAGGCCUUAGGGUUGUAAAGCUCUUUUACCCGGGAUGAUAAUGACAGUACCGGGGGAAUAAGCUCCGGCUAACUUCGUGCCAGCCGCCGCGGUAA